rnacentral:rRNA from 1 species
UACAGAGGUGGCAAGCGUUGUUCGGAAUUACUGGGCGUAAAGCGUGCGCAGGCGGUUCGUUAAGUUCGAUGUGAAAGCCCCGGGCUCAACCUGGGAACUGCAUUGGAAACUGGCGAGCUUGAAUGCGGCAGAGGGGGGUGGAAUUCCGCGUGUAGCAGUGAAAUGCGUAGAGAUGCGGAGGAACACCGAUGGCGAAGGCAGCCCCCUGGGCCGACAUUGACGCUCAGGCACGAAAGCGUGGGGAGCAAACAGG